AUUGAACGCUGGCGGCAGGCCUAACACAUGCAAGUCGAGCGGAGCGGCAGACGGGUGAGUAAUGCCUAGGAAUCUGCCUGGUAGUGGGGGAUAACGUCCGGAAACGGGCGCUAAUACCGCAUACUAUCAGAUGAGCCUCGGUCGGAUUAGCUAGGUGGUGGGGUAAAGGCCUACCAAGGCGACGGUCCGUAACUGGUCUGAGAGGAUGAUCAGUCAACCUGGAAUGGAGACACGGUCCAGACUCCGACGGGAGGCAGCAGGGGGGAAUAGUGGACAAUGGGCGAAAGCCUGAUCCAGCCAUGCCGCGUGUGUGAAGAAGGUCUUCGGAUGGUAAAGCACUUUAAGUUGGGAGGCGUUACCAACAGAAUAAGCACCGGUUAACUUCGUGCCGGCAGCCGCGGAAUUC
rnacentral:rRNA from 1 species